GAUGAAGAACGUAGUGAAAUGCGAUAAGUAAUGUGAAUUGCAGAAUUCAGUGAAUCAUUGAAUCUUUGAACGCACAUUGCGCCCCCUGGUAUUCCGGGGGGCAUGCCUGUCCGAGCGUCAUUACAACCCUCAAGCUCAGCUUGGUAUUGGGCCCCGCCGACCCGGCGGGCCCUAAAGUCAGUGGCGGUGCCGUCCGGCUCCGAGCGUAGUAAUUCUUCUCGCUCUGGAGGUCCGGUCGUGUGCUCGCCAGCAACCCCCAAUUUUUUUCAGGUUGACCUCGGAUCAGGUAGGGAUACCCGCUGAACUUAAGCAUAUCAAUAAGCGGAGGA
rnacentral:misc_RNA from 1 species